GGUAAAAUGACCGAGAUUAGGUAGUAAAUUGUAAAUUUACGUACGAAAUUAUAAUUAUUUCUUUUACCA